rnacentral:rRNA from 1 species
GAUGAACGCUAGCGGCAGGCUUAACACAUGCAAGUCGAGGGACCGGCGCACGGGUGAGUAACGCGUAAACAACCUGCACUUUACUCGGGAAUAACCUUUAGAAAGAACGAUUAAUACCCGACGUACAGGCUGGUGAUGCGUUCCGUUAGGUGGUUGGUGAGCGAACGACCCACCAAGCCUUCGUUGGAUGGGGGUUCUGAGAGGAAGGUCCCCUACAUCGGAACUGAGACACGGUCCAAACUCCUACGCGAGGCAGCAGGGAGGAAUAUUGUUCAAUGGGCGCUAGCCUGACCAAGCCAAGUAUCUUGAAGGAUGCAUGCUUAGGGGUCCUAAACUUCUUUGAUAUAAGAAUAUGUAUUAUAUGAAUAAGGAUCGGCUAACUCCGUGCCAGCCGCCGCGGUAAUUC